AUGCAUGCAAUGGUACGCUUUUUUUUCUUUUUUUUCUUUUUUGGUGCAUGCAAUGGUACUCAAUUGCACGUGAGGUUGGUCCUUACAACUCACGCAGCGGCGGAGCUUAAAGGAAAUCUUUGGAGGGGCGAAUCUGUGGACGUAGUGCUGGGUCUCGCUGCAGCAAUUCAAUCCCUUGAAAUUGGCCUUCAUUUGUUUGAGUUUCAUGGCCUUGUUGUUGAGGCAUCGAAGGAUGUUGUCCGUGUUACUCAAAUUCAAGCAACAAUAGAGGAGGCUGAACAGGAGUUGCUUCCGUUGUUGUUGGUUCAUCAGCUUCACAUUUAG
rnacentral:rRNA from 1 species